rnacentral:rRNA from 1 species
CCUACGGGUGGCAGCAGUGGGGAAUAUUGCUCAAUGGGGGAAACCCUGAUGCAGCGACGCCGCGUGAGUGAUGAAGUAUUUCGGUAUGUAAAGCUCUUUCAGCCGGGAAGAAAAUGACGGUCCCUGAUUAAGAAGCCCCGGAUAACUACUUGCCAGCAGCCGCGGUAAUACGUAGGGGGCAAGCGUUAUCCGGAUUUACUGGGUGUAAAGGGAGCGUAGACGGCAGCACAAGUCGUGAGUGAAAUGCCGGGGCUUAACCCCGGAACUGCUUUGGAAACGGUGCGGCUAGUGUGCUGGAGAGGUAAGUGGAAUUCCUAGUGUAGCGGUGAAAUGCGUAGAUAUUAGGAGGAACACCAGUGGCGAAGGCGGCUUACUGGACUGUAACUGACGUUGAGGCUCGAAAGCGUGGGGAGCAAACAGGAUUAGAUACCCGGGUAGUC